GCAGAGUUUGAUCCUGGCUCAGAUUGAACGCUGGCGGCAGGCCUAACACAUGCAAGUCGAGCGGUAACAGAUCUAGCUUGCUAGAUGCUGACGAGCGGCGGACGGGUGAGUAAUGCAUAGGAAUCUGCCCGAUAGUGGGGGAUAACCUGGGGAAACCCAGGCUAAUACCGCAUACGUCCUACGGGAGAAAGGGGGCUUUGGCUCCCGCUAUUGGAUGAGCCUAUGUCGGAUUAGCUAGUUGGUAAGGUAAUGGCUUACCAGUAGCAGUUUUCCGUGGCUGGUCUGAGAGGAUGAUCAGCCACAUCGGGACUGUGACACGGGCCGAACUUCUUCGGGAGGCAGCAGUGGGGAAUAUUGGACAAUGGGGGCAACCCUGAUCCAGCCAUGCCCAAUGUGUGAA
rnacentral:rRNA from 1 species